UUUGCAAUUUCAUUCUUUUCUUAUACAUGAUGUUAAACUUUGAUGGAAUUCGAGGAAUGGAACCUUUCACUCGAUCGUAUGUUACAGGUCUCCUGGGCAGCGUGUGUGCUGCAACAUCGCACAAGAGUUGUCCUCAAGUGCGCGGAAAAAGAUGAAGUGGGAUGCAUUCCACAAACCGUACUCACAAUCGCCUUCUUAAUGACUUAUCUUUGAUGACAAUCCCCUUUCCUCACCUUGGGCUGCUGCAGCUCUGCGAAUGGCUGCUCGACUCGGACAAGUAUUGCAUCCCAGCUCACAUUUUCACAGUUGAAAGUUUUCAACCAACAAUGGUAUUUUUUGCCUAUACAACACAACCAUUAAAAUAGCCAAUUUUGGUGCAAAGGUCUGCAAGGAAGGUUGUAAGUGUGUCAUUUGGGCCAUGGUGUGUCUUUAGCAUGUUGCUUUAAAGUUUGUAGGCCAGGGAAGUGUGCAGUAUGGAGAAGGAGUAGAGAGGGAUGCCUAUUUGUUGUGGUGCCAGCUGCCAUGGGCUGCAGCACAAAGUAACAGGCAUUUUUUUUUCAAACAGUUUGCAGAUUGAAAAGAGCACAAGUGGUCAGAAAUAGAGCAAGGCAAAAAUAAAGACAAAAGCGUGUGUGCUUGGGAAUAAAAAUUGCCUGGAGUGCAAAGGCUGUACUCCAUUGUGUAAAAGCAUAAAAAACAAACUAUUUGUCGAUGCCGGCAUUCACUUAUUAGAAUGUUUUCUGAUGACCUGAAAACUGUUUCAAAGCAUGAGACAAGUUUUCAGGCAAGUUUUUGGACUUGCAAGCUCAUUUAAAGAAAAUCAGGUGGGACAAUCUACAUAGCAUUUGUUUCCCCACGGAAUACACAUGGAUAGCAAUUUUUUCAA